rnacentral:rRNA from 1 species
UGGGCGUAAGAGCUCGUAGGCGGUUUGUCGCGUCUGUCGUGAAAGUCCGGGGCUUAACCCCGGAUCUGCGGUGGGUACGGGCAGACUAGAGUGCAGUAGGGGAGACUGGAAUUCCUGGUGUAGCGGUGGAAUGCGCAGAUAUCAGGAGGAACACCGAUGGCGAAGGCAGGUCUCUGGGCUGUAACUGACGCUGAGGAGCGAAAGCAUGGGGAGCGAACAGGAUUAGAUACCCUGGUAGUCCAUGCCGUAAACGUUGGGCACUAGGUGUGGGGACCAUUCCACGGUUUCCGUGCCGCAGCUAACGCAUUAAGUGCCCCGCCUGGGGAGUACGGCCGCAAGGCUAAAACUCAAAGGAAUUGACGGGGGCCCGCACAAGCGGCGGAGCAUGCGGAUUAAUUCGAUGCAACGCGAAGAACCUUACCAAGGCUUGACAUGUUCUCGAUCGCCGUAGAGAUACGGUUUCCCCUUUGGGGCGGGUUCACAGGUGGUGCAUGGUUGUCGUCAGCUCGUGUCGUGAGAUGUUGGGUUAAGUCCCGCAACGAGCGCAACCCUCGUUCCAUGUUGCCAGCACGUCGUGGUGGGGACUCAUGGGAGACUGCCGGGGUCAACUCGGAGGAAGGUGAGGACGACGUCAAAUCAUCAUGCCCCUUAUGUCUUGGGCUUCACGCAUGCUACAAUGGCCGGUACAAUGGGUUGCGAUACUGUGAGGUGGAGCUAAUCCCAAAAAGCCGGUCUCAGUUCGGAUUGGGGUCUGCAACUCGACCCCAUGAAGUCGGAGUCGCUAGUAAUCGCAGAUCAGCAACGCUGCGGUGAAUACGUUCCCGGGCCUUGUACACACCGCCCGUCAAGUCACGAAAGUUGGUAACACCCGAAGCCGGUGGCCUAACCCUUGUGGGGGGAGCCGUCGAAGGUGGGACCAGCGAUUGGGACUAAGUCGUA